rnacentral:rRNA from 1 species
AUUGAACGCUAGCGGCAUGCUUAACACAUGCAAGUCGAACGGCAGCGCGGGGAGCUUGCUCCCUGGCGGCGAGUGGCGGACGGGUGAGUAACGCGUAGGAAUUUACCUUAUAGUGGGGGAUAACUCGGGGAAACUCGAGCUAAUACCGCAUAAUCUCUUCGGAGCAAAGCGGGGGAUCUUCGGACCUCGUGCUAUUAGAUGAGCCUGCGUCGGAUUAGCUUGUUGGUGGGGUAAAGGCCUACCAAGGCAACGAUCCGUAGCUGGUCUGAGAGGACGACCAGCCACACUGGGACUGAGACACGGCCCAGACUCCUACGGGAGGCAGCAGUGGGGAAUAUUGGACAAUGGGGGAAACCCUGAUCCAGCAAUGCCGCGUGUGUGAAGAAGGCCUUCGGGUUGUAAAGCACUUUCAGUGGGGAGAAAGACUUAAGAUUAAUACUCUUAAGGGUUGACGUUACCCACAGAAGAAGCACUGGCUAACUCUGUG